CCCGAUUCAACUCUUUGGAGAGUGCUGAGACAGUGUGCGUGCGUCGGCGGUUCCCUCUGUCCCGAUCGCCAUGAAAUUGCACAAAAGAGGAAGUGCAGUGUGCGGUGGGGGCAGUGUGACUGUGAGAAAGUUGCCGUGGUGGUCUGGAAGGAGCGCCCUCAUCUUUCAUGGCGGAACUGUUGCCGUCAACUGACUGACUUUAGUUUCGCGAAAGGAUCUUUGACUCGGCUACCUACAGAGGUGGUAAAAGUACUCUGAACUUAAGUGCACAAGAAAGCACUUUCACCACGCAUAAUUCUCGGAGCCAACAACAGCAAAGAACUCUCUGAAGGCAACCAGUGGGGAAUAUCUUGCUUUUCUGAUGUUGGGUCAUCUUGUUAAUGGGGCCUUGUUCACAUUUUUCCAUGUUGCUGCUUUUUUGGAUUUAUCAGCGUUCCCCACAAGAUUUCAAUCAAUUGAGAUUUCAACCUUGGUUUAUGUUCCCUCUUCAUUUAUUAUGUUGUGUGCUCAUCCGCAACUCACAAAUACUCACAUCUCUCUUGAUUCUACUCUUCUCUACAUCCUUCGACAUCCACCCAGGACCUCUAUGUCAUACCCGGUGCCAAAAGGCCGAAUUAAAGCUGACCCUACACACCCAGGACACAGCCUGUUCGUCUCUCGCCUCUCCCCUCAGGGAGGAGGCUACGGUCCAUUCAGGUCAGAACUUCUUAUCACAUGAACAACUUCUUCCGCUCGACCAUUAGACUAAUGAACACGUAAUUACCAUUAUAACUUCACACAUACACCUGAUGCUUAUGUUAGUCUAUUAUUAACAUCAAAUGGGCAGUGUAGAGAAUGCACAAAGUGAAUUGAUUCAGUUCAUGGUUUGGACCGUAACAUCAGAAAAUAGGCGGAAUUGUUUUCCACGGUAAAAUUUAUUUUUUGCAAAUGUGUUAUUUUGAUGAAACACAAAGAUUCAUCCAGCCAUCCAUUUUCUUAGCCACUUAUCCUUACGAGGGUUGCAGGAGUGCUGGAGCCUAUCCCAGCUGUCAAUGGGCAGGAGGCAGGGUACACCCUGAACUGGUUGCCAGCCAAUUGCAGCGGAAAUCGAAACAAACAGCCGGACUCACAAUCACACCUAGGAGCAGUUUAGAGUGUCCAAUUAAUGUUGCAUGUUGGGCGGUUUUUUGGAAUGCGGGAGGAAACCAGAGUGCCUGGAGAAACCUCACACAGCCAGGGGGAGAACAUCCAAACCCGGGACAUCAGAACUCUGAGGCCAACGCUUUCCAGCUGAGCCACCAUGCCUCCCCACAAAGAUAAUCUUAUCUAUUGUUACAAUAAAUAUUACUUACAGCUUAUUCUAAUAAAUUUAAAUAUUUACUGUUGGGAGGCUGAAAUUCUGAGGUUUUGGAUAAUUAUAAAUUUGAAAGUCUCAACUGAUCAAAAAUGUUAACUUUAUAAGCAAUUCUUGAUUCCAUUUUUGUUCCAACUCUAUAUGGCACCUGUUAAAAUACUUGCAAAUUUUACAUUUUCGUAAAUGUUUUCUCCUUUAAUUUUUUUUCCCCUUGAAUAAAAUUCCUCUUUGUGCACGUUUA